GGAAAAGAAACCAACAGGGAUUGCCUCAGUAACGGCGAGUGAAGCGGCAAAAGCUCAGAUUUGAAAUCUGGCGUCAUUUUGGCGUCCGAGUUGUAAUCUGUAGAGGAGUAUUCGAGUGUGGCGCUGGCUUAAGUUCCUUGGAACAGGACGUCAUAGAGGGUGAGAACCCCGUUAACGGCCUUUGUCUUAUGCUCAUGUGAAUCUCCUUCAACGAGUCGAGUUGUUUGGGAAUGCAGCUCUAAAUGGGUGGUAAAUUCCAUCUAAAGCUAAAUACUGGCAAGAGACCGAUAGCGCACAAGUAGAGUGAUCGAAAGAUGAAAAGAACUCUGAACAGAGAGUUAAAUAGUACGUGAAAUUGUUGAAAGGGAAGCACUUGCUACCAGACACGCCUGUAGUUGAUCAACCUCCAUUUUUGGUGGUGCACUCAGCUAUAGGUGGGUCAGCAUCAGUUAUGGCGGUGGGAUAAAGACUUGGGGAAUGUGGCUUCUCUCGGGAGGUGUUAUAGCCCUGAGUGUAAUACCAUCUGCUAUGACUGAGGACCGCGCUUCGGCGAGGAUGCUGGCAUAAUGGUCGUAAGUGACCCGUCUUGAAACACGGACCAAGGAGUCUAACAUCUAUGCGAGUGUUUGGGUGUCAAAACCCUUACGCGGAAUGAAAGUGAACGUAGGUGGGAACCGAAAGGUGCACCAUCGACCGAUCCUGAUGUCUUCGGAUGGAUUUGAGUAGGAGCAUAGCUGUUGGGACCCGAAAGAUGGUGAACUAUGCCUGAAUAGGGUGAAGCCAGAGGAAACUCUGGUGGAGGCUCGCAGCGGUUCUGACGUGCAAAUCGAUCGUCAAAUUUGGGUAUAGGGGCGAAAGACUAAUCGAACCAUCU
rnacentral:rRNA from 1 species